GACGAACGCUGGCGGCGUGCUUAACACAUGCAAGUCGAACGGAAAGGCCUGCAGCUUGCUGCGGGUACUCGAGUGGCGAACGGGUGAGUAACACGUGGGUGAUCUGCCUUGCACUUCGGGAUAAGCUUGGGAAACUGGGUCUAAUACCGGAUAGGACAGCUGUUUAGUGUCAGUUGUGGAAAGUUUUUUCGGUGCAAGAUGAGCUCGCGGCCUAUCAGCUUGUUGGUGGGGUAAUGGCCUACCAAGGCGUCGACGGGUAGCCGGCCUGAGAGGGUGUACGGACACAUUGGGACUGAGAUACGGCCCAGACUCCUACGGGAGGCAGCAGUGGGGAAUAUUGCACAAUGGGCGGAAGCCUGAUGCAGCGACGCCGCGUGGGGGAUGAAGGCCUUCGGGUUGUAAACUCCUUUCGACAGGGACGAAGCUUUUGUGACGGUACCUGUAGAAGAAGCACCGGCUAACUACGUG
rnacentral:rRNA from 1 species